rnacentral:lncRNA from 1 species
CUCACUUUUCCAUGUCAACAGCGGCCGCUGGUACCCACUGAACAUCGCCCACCAUUUUCGCAUCUGAAACAAUCAGCUGCUCUUUUAAAUAAUUCUGAAUACCUCUCAUUGGUGUGAGCGGAGGAAAUUGGCGACGAAACUGAUCCAAGGAUGCAACCAUGUUUGACUUGUCCUCAUUCUCAAUACUACAAAUUACGACCAAGUGAUAUCCUAAAUAGAAAGAGGAAACCUUAUUAAAAUAUAGGCUAUUGACUAAAUUUAGCACUCUGUAAGUGGCUACUACCUUAAAG